GGUAGAAUGGCCGAGUGUUAAGCGGUGGAUUGUAGCCCCACAUACAGAGGUUGGACUCCUCUUUCUAUCA
rnacentral:tRNA from 2 species